AAUUUCAUUAGGAUAAUAUAGGUCAUGAAUUCAUAUAACUGAAAAUUGAUGGGGACUAAGUAGGACCUGAGUUUGGCCACCAAAACCUUUGUAGGGUUGUAACUACACCAUCACAGAGCAGUCUGGAAUUCAUCCUUUUUUUAAAAAAAAAAAUUCUUUGAUUUUCUUUCUUGACCCUGAAGUCAGGUAUACACAAAACAAAACCAUUAGAAAAACAUAGAAAACAAAAAAGCAAAAGAGAGAUUAGCCACCUAACAACAAACAAAACUUUGAAAUAAAGCAAAUUAAGUACUUGCGGAGCAGGUGAUCCAUCCUCGUUCAAGUCCAAACCAUUUGAAAAUUGAUAGCCAGAAUAUGCAUCCAUCAGUUGAUUAUUCACAUCUCAUUGAUAAAGAAUGCUCAUCUACUUCUUCAACCCUCCCACGUUGUGUUUGAUCAUGUUUUCACAUAUUGGACUCACCAGGUACUGUUUAUCAUUAUUUUUCUCUUAUUUCAUUAGUCUUUGAAAUGCCAUGGCUGGCCUGCAACGGAUUGAACAUUCUAAUUAAUCGUCUUAUUUCUCUGAAUAAUACUAAGUGAACAAGUUCUUUACAUCCCACAUAUAGCUAGCACACUUUACGUGUACGCUUAACUAUGUCUUAUUUUUCAAUAACUAUAUAUGCUGACGGGUAGUAUGGCUCCUGCUUUGGUCUGCGUUUUCUAAAAGAAAGUCUGAUUGGAAGAAGAAACAAAAACAAACUGAUCGAUCGAGGUGGUUGGAGUGGCCAUCAACCGCUCAACCACCAAGAAUAUGAUAAAAGGAUUGACAUGCAUAUGGUUCUAGACUGAGUGAGCAUGACAGGUCAUUAGGCCAAGACACAAAAAGCCAAGUUUAUUUUCAUAUCUUGCACCUGCUAUUCUUUCAUUAUGUUAAUUGGGGUCGCCUUGAAAGCCAAGCUUCCCUAACCCAAGCAUAGCUUCCAGAGCAAGGAAGCAUUUGCAUUUAUGGUGCACCAAAUCUUCAUGUAGGAUCCCAUGCAUAUAAUGUUCAUGAUCGAUAUAACUAACAUCACAGAUCCCACCACGUACUCUUAAACUUAUUGUCAGCAUCUAUCUAUCUUACUGUUAACUAACUGAACAUGCAAUUUGACACAUGAAUUCGAUCAGAUCCCCAUCUUAUUUGCCUACAAUGGUGUAGAAAUUCUGAUUUGUUUAGGCGAUUAGGUUCACUAGCUAGCAAGUUCAAGGUUGAAGAUUACUCCAACAAAUCGAUUUGAACUUGAUAAGUUUGCAACUCAUAUAUUUUGAAUGUUUGGUCACUGACUUAACAUGAUGUGUGCCUGGCUUGAAGGACGUUAGUUGACUAUCGAUUCAUAC
rnacentral:lncRNA from 1 species